rnacentral:rRNA from 1 species
AGAGUUUGAUCCUGGCUCAGAACGAACGCUGGCGGCAGGCCUAACACAUGCAAGUCGAACGCCUCGCAAGGGGCGUGGCAGACGGGUGAGUAACGCGUGGGAACGUACCCUCGGUUCGGAAUAACCCAGGGAAACUUGGGAUAAUACCGGAUACGUCCGCAAGGAGAAAGAUUUAUCGCCGAAGGAUCGGCCCGCGUUGGAUUAGCUAGUUGGCGGGGUAAUGGCCCACCAAGGCGACGAUCCAUAGCUGGUCUGAGAGGAUGAUCAGCCACACUGGGACUGAGACACGGCCCAGACUCCUACGGGAGGCAGCAGUGGGGAAUAUUGGACAAUGGGCGAAAGCCUGAUCCAGCCAUGCCGCGUGAGUGAUGAAGGCCUUAGGGUUGUAAAGCUCUUUCAGCGGGGAAGAUAAUGACGGUACCCGCAGAAGAAGCCCCGGCUAACUUCGUG